rnacentral:rRNA from 1 species
CCUACGGGGCGCAGCAGUGAGGAAUAUUGGUCAAUGGCCGGAAGGCUGAACCAGCCAAGCCGCGUGAAGGACGAAGGUGCCAAGCAUUGUAAACUUCUUUUGUCAAGGGACAAAAUCAGGCUCGAGAGCCUGACCGAGGGUACUUGAAGAAAAAGCAUCGGCUAACUCCGUGCCAGCAGCCGCGGUAAUACGGAGGGGGCAAGCGUUAUCCGGAUUUACUGGGUGUAAAGGGAGCGUAGACGGCAGCACAAGUCUGGAGUGAAAUCCCGGGGCUUAACCCCGGAACUGCUUUGGAAACUGUGCGG